UCUGGAUCUUGGAUUUCCACACUGCCCUCUAUAGCUACAAUGAGUUCUCAGAGAUGAAUGUCUCAUUUUAGCUAAUCUCUAUAAGCAUUGUGGAUUCAUAUAUGUAACUAUCCAUUUUGAUCUUGUUCCUAGAUGAUGUUCCUAGAUUUCAUGUUUACAUGCAGUUCCAGGAUUUGUAGGAUGUACAACCACAUAGUCUGUUGUGCAUAUGGACAUGGCAAACUGUGGUUCUCACCCUGAAGUUCAUGAUAAUUACUAUUGCACCAAGUGCUACACUUAAUAAAUCCACAAACUCAUUCAUUGUCUAUUUCAGGGUCUACUUUAGCCACAGGUUAUGCUAUAAAUUUAGGUGUUUAGUUACUUUGCCUGUACUUAUUAAAACAGUAUGCCAGUUGUAGAUACUGAAAAAUACUACAACUGGACGGGGAGAAUGUCUCGGUUAAAACACUGUUUUGGGAAUUCAACACCACUUACUUUCAGUGACCAAUCCAUUCAUGUAGAUGCCCUGGGAUGUCAUUCUAAUAUGGAAAGUGGGGCUGAUGCUACAACUGCUGUGUGGCUCUGUUGUCAGUGUCUAUUUUAGCUUAUGACUGACAAUUAAAUCCCAAAUGCUUAGACGUGUAACAUUUUAUCAUGCUGUAAUGUGAUAUAGGUGGCACAUUAAGGUAAUGUUUCUAAACAAAGAUCCAGGACAUUGCGAAGUGUUGACUUCACAUAUAUAGCACCAGGUGAAUUGUGUACAGAAUUUUCUCAUCAAGUCAGAUAGAGAUUCAGUCUGCAAUGGUUAAUAUGAGUAGGGACAUCAAUUUACAAACAGAAUGUAAAAUAAGGUGCUAAAGGUUGAAGAAAUCACUUCAGUGUGUGGUCUAAUCAAAAGUCUAUAACAUAUAAAUCAAUGGCACCCCUUAUGUCAAGUAUUUAAAAAUAACAAUCUUUAUUUAAUGACAAAAUAUAACAUGUAUUUCAUCUAUAUACAACUAAUGAUAUACAAAGCAUGGAUGUAAUUCAUCUGUACGUAAUCACAGUAACUAGGUAAUGUGUCUCAGCAGUUAUUCUUUUAGUUUCU